rnacentral:rRNA from 1 species
UACGGAGGGUGCGAGCGUUAAUCGGAAUUACUGGGCGUAAAGGGUGCGUAGGUGGUUAAUUAAGUUAUCUGUGAAAUCCCUGGGCUCAACCUGGGCAGGUCAGAUAAAACUGUUUAACUCGAGUAUAGGAGAGGGUAGUGGAAUUUCCGGUGUAGCGGUGAAAUGCGUAGAGAUCGGAAGGAACACCAGUGGCGAAGGCGGCUACCUGGCCUAAUACUGACACUGAGGCACGAAAGCGUGGGGAGCAAACAGG